GUGCUCACUUCAGCAGCACAUAUACUAAAAUUGGAAUGACACAAAGAAGAUUAGCAUGGCCCCUGCACAAGGAUGACAUGCAAAUUCGUGAAGCAUUCCAUAUUAAA
rnacentral:snRNA from 1 species